UACGAAGGGGGGCUAGCGUUGUUCGGAAUUACUGGGCGUAAAGCGUGCGCAGGCGGCUUCUCAAGUCAGGGGUGAAAGCCCAGAGCUCAACUCUGGAACUGCCUUUGAGACUGAGAGGCUUGAGUACGGGAGAGGUGAGUGGAAUUCCCAGUGAUAGAGGUGAAAUUCGUAGAUAUUGGGAAGAACACCGGUGGGCGAAAGGCGGCUCACUGGCCCGAAACUGACGC
rnacentral:rRNA from 1 species